AACGAACGCUGGCGGCAUGCCUAACACAUGCAAGUCGAACGAGACCUUCGGGUCUAGUGGCGCACGGGUGCGUAACGCGUGGGAACCUGCCCUUAGGUUCGGAAUAACUCCCCGAAAGGGGUGCUAAUACCGGAUAAUGUCUUCGGACCAAAGAUUUAUCGCCUUUGGAUGGGCCCGCGUUGGAUUAGCUAGUUGGUAGGGUAAAAGCCUACCAAGGCGACGAUCCAUAGCUGGUCUGAGAGGAUGAUCAGCCACACUGGGACUGAGACACGGCCCAGACUCCUACGGGAGGCAGCAGUGGGUAAUAUUGGACAAUGGGCGAAAUCCUGAUCCAGCAAUGCCGCGUGAGUGAUGAAGGCCUUAGGGUUGUAAAGCUCUUUUACCCGGGAUGAUAAUGACAGUACCGGGAGAAUAAGCUCCGGCUAACUCCGUG
rnacentral:rRNA from 1 species